rnacentral:rRNA from 1 species
AACCAGCACCUCAAGUGGUCAGGAUGAUUAUUGGGCCUAAAGCAUCCGUAGCCGGCUAUGUAAGUUUUCGGUUAAAUCUGUGCGCUUAACGUACAGGCUGCCGGGAAUACUGCACAGCUAGGAAGUGGGAGAGGUAGACGGUACUCGGUAGGAAGGGGUAAAAUCCUUUGAUCUAUUGAUGACCACCUGCGGCGAAGGCGGUCUACCAGAACACGUUCGACGGUGAGGGAUGAAAGCUGGGGGAGCAAACCGGAUUAGAUACCCGGGUAGUCCCAGCCGUAAACUAUGCAAACUCAGUGAUGCAUUGGCUUGUGGCCAAUGCAGUGCUGCAGGGAAGCUGUUAAGUUUGCCGCCUGGGAAGUACGUACGCAAGUAUGAAACUUAAAGGAAUUGGCGGGGGAGCACCACAAGGGGUGAAGCCUGCGGUUCAAUUGGAGUCAACGCCAGAAAUCUUACCCGGAGAGACAGCAGAAUGAAGGUCAAGCUGAAGACUUUACCAGACAAGCUGAGAGGUGGUGCAUGGCCGUCGCCAGCUCGUGCCGUGAGAUGUCCUGUUAAGUCAGGUAACGAGCGAGAUCCCUGCCUCUAGUUGCCACCAUUACUCUCAGGAGUAGUGGGGCGAAUUAGCGGGACCGCCGCAGUUAAUGUGGAGGAAGGAAGGGGCCACGGCAGGUCAGUAUGCCCCGAAACUCUGGGGCCACACGCGGGCUGCAAUGGUAGUGACAAUGGGUUCCGAAUCCGAAAGGAGGAGGUAAUCCUCAAACGCUACCACAGUUGUGACUGAGGGCUGCAACUCGCCCUCACGAACAUGGAAUCCCUAGUAACUGCGUGUCAUUAUCGCGCGGUGAAUACGUCCCUGCUCCU